AUUGAACGCUGGCGGCAGGCCUAACACAUGCAAGUCGAAUGGUAACAGGAAACAGCUUGCUGUUUCGCUGACGAGUGGCGGACGGGUGAGUAAUGUCUGGGAAACUGCCUGAUGGAGGGGGAUAACUACUGGAAACGGUAGCUAAUACCGCAUAACGUCGCAAGACCAAAGGGGGGGACCUUCGUGCCUCUUGCCAUCAGAUGUGCCCAGAUGGGAUUAGCUAGUAGGUGGGGUAACGUCUCACCUAGGCGACGAUCCCUAGCCGGUCUGAGAGGAUGACCGGCCGCACUGGAGCGUGGACACGCUCCAGGCUCCUACGGGAGGCAGCAGUGGGGAAUAUUGCACAAUGGGCGCAAGCCUGAUGCAGCCAUGCCGCGUGUAUGAAGAAGGCCUUCGGGUUGUAAAGUACUUUCUGCGGGGGGGAAGGGAGUAAAGUUAAUACCUUUGCUCAUUGACGUUACCCGCAGAAGAAGCACCGGCUAACUCCGUG
rnacentral:rRNA from 1 species